GCGCGAGUGGUGAAAUUGGCAGACACGCUAGUUUUAGGCACUAGUGCUCUAUGGCGUGAGGGUUCAAGUCCCUCCUCGCGCACCA
rnacentral:tRNA from 1 species